GUGAGGAAUAUUGGUCAAUGGACGCAAGUCUGAACCAGCCAUGCCGCGUGCAGGAAGACGGCUCUAUGAGUUGUAAACUGCUUUUGUACGAGGGUAAACUCGGAUACGUGUAUCCGACUGAAAGUAUCGUACGAAUAAGGAUCGGCUAACUCCGUGCCAGCAGCCGCGGUAAUACGGAGGAUCCAAGCGUUAUCCGGAUUUAUUGGGUUUAAAGGGUGCGUAGGCGGUUUGAUAAGUUAGAGGUGAAAGCUCGGGGCUUAACUCCGAGACUGCCUCUAAUACUGUUGAGCUAGAGAGUAGUUGCGGUAGGCGGAAUGUAUGGUGUAGCGGUGAAAUGCGUAGAGAUCAUACAGAACACCGAUUGCGAAGGCAGCUUACCAAACUAUAUCUGACGUUGAGGCACGAAAGCGUGGGGAGCAAACAGGAUUAGAAACCCUUGUAGUCC
rnacentral:rRNA from 1 species